rnacentral:rRNA from 1 species
UACCAGCACCCCGAGUGGUCGGGACGAUUAUUGGGCCUAAAGCAUCCGUAGCCGGUUCUGCAAGUCCCCCGUUAAAUCCAGCUGCUCAACAGAUGGGCCGCGGAGGAUACUACAGAGCUAGGAGGCAGGAGAGGCAAGCGGUACUCAGUGGGUAGGGGUAAAAUCCGUUGAUCCACUGAAGACCACCAGUGGCGAAGGCGGCUUGCCAGAAUGCGCUCGACGGUGAGGGAUGAAAGCUGGGGGAGCAAACCGG